rnacentral:piRNA from 1 species
UAGUGAGUAAAGUGACAGGAGAGCA